GAGGAGCCUGGAGGACACAGAGUGCAGUCAGGGGAGCACAGCAGGAUCUGUGGUGUGCGUAACACUUUCGGAACAUGGGGGCAUUAAGGCAGUGCACACAGGCACUGACAGCCUGACAGUACUCAGGGCCGUCCUGUCCCAGAAUAAACAUGAAUGGCCAGGAACAGCAGUUUUGCUUUGAAUCCCUAGGCUACCUUCUGUCAGCACAAUGGGGAUUUUCAAGUCAGCCUUAAUUUCUAGUCCAUACUGAGAGUCUUGGGUAGUGGAGGACAAAAUUCAGUUUAACUUUUCUCUGGGCUCCAUGAAAUGCAGAUGAGACCUGAUCACAGUGACAGUAGGCCCAAAGAAUGUGAUUGUUCUGCUUCUGAAUGCUCAGCAGCACGCUGGCCCUAUGCCCUCUUCACUAUUUUCCCCUUUCCCAGCAUUUGUUACAGCAAGGUCUGGCAGGCAGAGAGGGCUGUGGUUGGUGUACAGUGAUCUUUUGAAAUUGAUGAGAUCUAUUUCAAGAUUGGGAGGGCACUGGAUGGGUAGUUGGGAGACAGAGAAUUAUCCAGAAUCACAAAUCUGCGUUUUAAACUCUUUUGAGAAAAGUAAGUUAAAUUUUUAUAAUUUGAUUUUAUGAGAAUACCUCAAGCCCCUAGAGAAAUAAUUUAAAUCCUCACUCCAUAAGCUAACUCAGGGGCUGAGAUAUUUCCUGGCUGCCAUCUACAUCCUCUCUCAUCUCUGAUGCUGUUGUUUUUUUCUGAUAUUGUAGCAAAACCAUGUCUUCUGUUUUCUUACCCAGAGAACCACCAGUAUGUGAUUUUGGAAAGAAAAGAGCUGCUGGCUUCUGGGCACUGAUUCUGAUGGGAGAGAAAACAUGUGUGAUAUUUAUAUAUAGAAAAGGGCAUGCAUCAGAUGAAGAUAGUUCCCUUCUGGGCUUCCCCAGGAAAAUCAAUCAGAGUUAUCCCCUCUCCCUAUUCACUGAACCAGAGAUUGUUGUCAGCUUCAGAGAAGAAGGGAGGGUGAUCAACUAAGCAGAAUAACACAAGUUCUCCUAGCACCAGGCCAGCAUAAAGGGCAUGCUGAAUUUUGGAACUAAACAUCACAAGUGCAGCCACAAAUGAGAGCAGCCAGUAAAUCAAUAGGACCCCUGAAGACUGGAUGCCCAUCAUUCUUUCUGCUUGGGUAAGGAACAAGGCGAGGACCUGUGAGGAAGUACAAGUUUGUCCAAAUAAAUACGUGGUACUGGAA